rnacentral:SRP_RNA from 1 species
GGCUAGGCCGGGGGGUUCGGCGUCCCCUGUAACCGGAAACCGCCGAUAUGCCGGGGCCGAAGCCCGAGGGGCGGUUCCCGAAGCCGCCUCCGGAAGCCAGGGCCGAACGAUGAGUCCUCGUCCCGCGGGGUGCCCGGUGGGGGAGGCACGGCUGAAGGGCCGUGCUAACCCCCUUUAGGCCCCAAACCCCGCAAGGCCCGGAAGGGAGCAGCGGUAGGGGCCACGGAGCACGCUCGCGGGGGUGCGGG